CCAGCACUGAAAAUACAAAUUUGAGAACCAACUUGUGUGCACACCAUGGAGUGCACACGAGUUAAAAAUAGAUUCCACCUUGCCUCCUACCUGCAUAAUAAAUAUGUAAGUUUCAAGUGUUUAAUUUGAUAUUCACAUUAAUUAACAAUACAACAUACAUUAUUUAAAAGACAGCAAAGGCAAGAAGAAAGGAGAGACACCAUCUGGUAGCAGAGUUUUGUUGUUGUUGUUUUUGUUUUUAGGGUUUUUUUUUUUGGCUUUGUUAAAAAAAAAAAAAAAAGGUAAAAUCCUAUUUUGAACGUGAUGAAAAGCAAACAUCCAGAGGCAAAUGAAUCGGAACUGAAAGGUGAUGUUGAAAUAUCUAAGGCUGUAAUGAGGCAAAAACAAGUCUUCGCUACCAGAUGAUAUGGCAUACCGAGCAUUUACAUACUCACAUCUGAAAUACUAGGCAACGUGUAAUGAAUUCUAUACACAGCAUGCACACACAGCAAAAGCACGGCUAAUCCUGCCUGCCAUCUUAGGCUCGCAGAAGCAAGAUACGCACUGCAUGCAGACACGAGCACUGGGGAAGGAGGAGGCAGGGGACAGCUCACCUUAAAUGCAGUAUCUGAUUAAUGUUGUAAGUGACAUUGCAUAUCAGCCUCAGAGUCUUGGUUCAACUGGGUAGGAGGGAACAAAGAAAAAUGUCAUCAACUGGUGAUGCAAGAUGAGCCCAAUCACUAAACACUGUUUAGCAAACUCCAAAUUCUGCAACCAGACAGUAGAAGGCAUUUCGUACACUUAAGCAGAGCUGCUGCACAAUGCAUGUGUCCUUUUGCUUCUGAGAAUCAAACAAUCCUUUUGCUAAUGAAGAAAAUAAGCCGGAAUGAAUACUGUCAUAUCUUCUUCUUGAAGAAAGCUUUCAAUACAGAUCUGUGUAAGAUGUGGGAACGGAGUACAUACUUGAUGGCAAAGAUGAGGCAGCAAACCAUGGGGACCAAACUGAGGUUAUCUUCUAGGAAAGACCUGGGGGAGACGGGAAAUGUGAACCAUGCGGUUUUCAACAGAGAAAAACUGAUAAAGACAUGGCUCAGAAAGGCCAUAACCAGGCACCUCAUCUCACCAGAGCAGCUUUAACAAACCUCGGUGAAUCUUCACUUCCUUCGGACUGAAGAUAAAGGCAGAAUAAGUUUUUGUUGAUUGAAUUAUCUACCUUUAAUCACGUCUCUGGCUUGCUUCCUGCAAGAUCUGUGUAUCUCCCGCGGCACCCAGAGCGUUGUCUGAUGCAGUGAAGGGGGCUCAUAUGGGUAUGCUCUUCACUGACCAACACCAACUUGGGAGUUCCCUCUCUGCUCCCAUCACUACCAGUGGAAUCUUUAGCUUUGUCUCAUGAAGCCAUUUCCCAAAAUAGGGGAACUUGCUCCAUGAAUUAAGGAAUGGACCUAGGGGCUGAAAAUAUCUAUGGAAGUCUUUCAAGUACUUAAUCACUUGUUUCCCAAAGGGAGUCACGAAUUGUCUGGCAAGCAGACCACAGGCUUUGUUUAAAUCUGUCCCUCCCAGAACAGAAAAAGGGAGACAGAAAUAAGAAUGGUCUGACAGCAAUACCAUUGCCUUCAAAUUGUGCCUCAACCUUUCCUGGGCCCUCAGCGUCAGAACAUGGUUCGUAGAACUAUAGGAUGGGCAAGGCAGUUUGCAAGAUGCCAUCUCAACCCUCUCUUUGAGGUGGAAAAAAAUCACAUUCAAAGAGAGUAUUAUAUCUGAAGACCUCGGCAAACAGGAUAAAAGCCCUAUUCCUUAAUUUCUAGUACUCUGCCCUUUGUAAUGCAACAUACUGGCUCAAUUAAAGUUCCAGGCUUUCA